rnacentral:snRNA from 1 species
GGAUGUGAGGGCGAUCUAGCUGUGACAUCUGCCACCCCACUGAUUACCAGGGUUGAUCUGGCUGAUCUGGCUGGCAAGGCAGGUGUCCCCUUCUUCCCCCAAUGAUCCAUGUGGGUCCCUCCAGAAGCUGUGUGCUCGGUCCAAGAGGACGACCAUUCCGAUAGCGUAGGACCGUUCCUCGGUCAGGCGUAUACGAGUAGCUGCGCUCUCCUGCUAGAACCUCCAACGCAGCUCUCAAGACCAGCCUAGGCUACAAAGUAAGCUCAAGGCCAGUCUGAGCUUACAGUGAGACCCUGUCU